AUUCUCCUUGCUCUUCAAUUUACGUUCUACCGCUUUCUUUCUCAUUCUCUCUAAUCUCCAAUUCAUCUUCCACCGCAAUCAUCUACUAGUCUUCCGCCUCUUUAUUUCAACAUCUUAAUCUACUGGAUUUUUCUCUUCCGCUUCAUUAUUUCAACAUCUUCAUCACAAACAAGAACGCCGGAUCUGCCCCUUUUGUAUUCGUGUUUUUUCAUCUGUAAUGUGUAUGCUUUGUUUAUGAAUUAGGGUUUUCCAAGACGUGCAUAUGAAUCGGUUAUCCAUUUUGAUUAACCAUGUGUUCAACCCGUUUUGAGUUUAUCCUGAUUUGAUUCACCCUCUUCUCAAUCGGAAUCGAGUUUAUCCCGUUUUGAUUAACCAUGUAUUCUUCAUCCUUUAUUAUGUUUUCGUCUGUUAUUCUAAUUUCGUUAUGUUAUUGAAAACCCUAAUUUUUGAAACAAUAGGUACUCAUUUUCUAAAUUUACAGUAGGUAGUUGAACUUCUUUGUUUGUUUUGUUUAGGGUUCUUUUGGUUCCUAUUUGGCUUCUGUGAUGCAUCAAAUUUUUUGAUUGAAAUGGGGCCACGAGUAACUUUCGUUUUCUGAUUUGAAUUUGAAUAUUGUUGGACAACCUUUCACACCUUCUGAAAUUAGGUUUCUGAAAUUAGGUUUAAGUUAUGUUUUUUCAGUUAUUCAAUUUGUGAAGAAUCAUAAUAGGGCAUCAAUUUCGUGGUAAUUACAUGAACAUGUUGUAACAGUUAAGUCUUGGUAAACAAAGUAAAGGUUUGAUAAUGUAACAAUUAAGUCUUGGUAAACAAAUUCAAGGUUUUCUUUUGAUUGAAAUGUGUGGCUCAUAUUAUUGUUUUGUGGAUUAGUAAUAUGAUGUUAUAGAUUAGAAUACUUUAUUUGUCUUAUCUUUCAAAAAUCCAAUUCUUGAUGUUUAUUGUAUAGAUACAAACCUUUGUUGUAUUUAUAUCUUUACAAGUUCAUACUGAGGUAUAGGCUUUCGUUUGGUUUAAGUCGCAUAUACUAUCUGAUUUCUAACUUCGUGUUUGCUGUUCAUACAACUAUUAUUCCCAGAUUCAUAAAGCAAACAAUCGACGGAUUCAAGCUUCGAAACGCGGGAGAUGAAUAUAUAUGUUGCUUACAUGGAACACUUACUACAUGAAGAUAAGGACCUAACUACUGAAAACCUUCAUGAUAGUGCAUGAUGCAUAUAUGGAACACUUACUACACGAAAAUACUAAUUUCCUUACGAGUUCAUAUUGAGAUUGAUAAAGCAAACAAUCGACAGAUUCAAGCGUGGAAACGCUUGAGAUGAAUAUAUGUAUACACUGGUCCCAAAGUCUCUUAUUUAUCGAAAUAUUUUUGGUUGCCGACAUGAGCAGCAAUUCUCCGUCAGCAAUGGUAAUUUACCAACAUCAAUUAUAUUUGUUUUUUUUAUGAUUUUCAUGAAUUGUUUAUCUACAUUUUUGUUGUGAUCACACUAUCAUGAAUAGCUUAAUAAUAGAAGUAAAAAUCUAUUGUCUUCGAGAAUAUAUUUCAGAUCUCAAUUACCAUUGACACAUAGCAACCUUAUUUAUUUGUUAAACAUAAAACUUAAACUUAGAGCCACCAUAUUA
rnacentral:lncRNA from 1 species